AUGUUGGCGAAACAUCUCAUCAGGCAAACCCUAAUAAUAAUCUCGAUCUUUUACGUUUUAUCAAAAUGGAUCUCUUCAAAAUUCUCUGAAAUCAAAAUUGAAAAUUGAUAAAACGAAAUAGAAAAGACACAACAGAAGGCAAGGUCAAGCAGGUCACAACACAACGCAAGCACAUCACAGGGAUCCAUCGGCACAAUCGAUCUCUGAAAAAAAUUGCAGCAAUCAAUACUCCAUCAGAAGGAAGGGGGAAUAAGAAGUCACAAGUUAAAACAGACCUUUCAGCAUUUGCAGUGAUAAAGGCCUCCAAAGCCCAAUUUGGGUAGCACAAUUUUACCAGGAUCUUCAUAAGGGUGGUAUCUCUUUUCUGGUUCGCAAUGAGAGUCAUAACAACAGGGAGAAGCACUGACCACUACAAGUGAUGGAAAAAGACAAAAAAAAAAAAAAAAAGUGUGUUUAUCAGCAAUUCCACGUCCGAUAACAUGUUUAUAUAUCGAUAUGAUCAUACCAGCUGAGCUGGAGCAGGCUCAAAGUAAAUUGCUAUUGCAUAAGCAAUGCCAGUCACACAGUACACAAGGCAGACCAGAACCAUGUAAUUACUUCCGAAGCUUGACCUUGGAUUGCUAAAAAAAUAGAACAUGGACAGAUACACCACGGGUUUGAUGAUUGUAUUGAACAGAUCAACUGUAUCUUUGGACAAAAAAUGAGCAAGACUGCUGAUCCCAGAUGCACUCUCCCUCCAGUAUUGCAAUUUAUCCAAAGAAAAUGAUCUCAGAGCUGCAAUCUUGCAUAGUAGAGCUGCAAGUAGGCAACAUAAAUGAGGGAAGAAGACACAAAUAGAAAGGAAUCUAAAAGUAGAUGUUCAAUUAACCCAAGAAAGAAAAGAGUGGUUCAUUUCUAGGAGAAGAAAGAGGGCACUCAAAUUCAACAAGGAUCUUUCAAACUUACAGACAGCAAUGACAGUAUAUGUGUAUCCAAGAG